rnacentral:rRNA from 1 species
AACGAACGCUGGCGGCAUGCCUAACACAUGCAAGUCGAACGAGAUCUUCGGGUCUAGUGGCGCACGGGUGCGUAACGCGUGGGAAUCUGCCCUUUGGUUCGGAAUAACAGUUGGAAACGACUGCUAAUACCGGAUGAUGACGAAAGUCCAAAGAUUUAUCGCCAGAGGAUGAGCCCGCGUAGGAUUAGCUAGUUGGUGUGGUAAAGGCGCACCAAGGCGACGAUCCUUAGCGGGUCUGAGAGGAUGAUCAGCCACACUGGGACUGAGACACGGCCCAGACUCCUACGGGAGGCAGCAGUGGGGAAUAUUGGACAAUGGGCGAAAACCUGAUCCAGCAAUGCCGCGUGAGUGAUGAAGGCCUUAGGGUUGUAAAGCUCUUUUACCCGGGAUGAUAAUGACAGUACCGGGAGAAUAAGCUCCGGCUAACUCUGUGCCAGCAGCCGCCGUAA